rnacentral:lncRNA from 1 species
GAGAACACUCCAGUCCCUUUUAUAUUAACUACUCCAUCCGUAAUUUCUAGUCCGGAGCCCAAUGUUCAUCUUCCAGGGCCUUCUUUGGAUCCACCCAUCUAAGAAAACUUUAGUCAGGGUGUUUGAAUCCACCAUCUAAAUGGUGGUUAAAGAGUUGUUUGUCAUCUUUCCCCUCGCAUCUACCUUCUUCUCUCUUCUCCCUCCUCCCCCACGCCCUUGCCUGCCUCAUCCCUUGCCCACCUCACCCCGCUUCCUCUCUCCCCUCCCCUGCUUUCCCCAUUCCAGCCGCUGCCGAUUCCUUGCCAGCCUC